rnacentral:rRNA from 1 species
AGUGAACGCUGGCGGUAGGCCUAACACAUGCAAGUCGAACGGCAGCACAGUAAGAGCUUGCUCUUACGGGUGGCGAGUGGCGGACGGGUGAGGAAUACAUCGGAAUCUACUUUUUCGUGGGGGAUAACGUAGGGAAACUUACGCUAAUACCGCAUACGACCUACGGGUGAAAGCAGGGGAUCUUCGGACCUUGCGCGAUUGAAUGAGCCGAUGUCGGAUUAGCUAGUUGGCGGGGUAAAGGCCCACCAAGGCGACGAUCUGUAGCUGGUCUGAGAGGAUGAUCAGCCACACUGGAACUGAGACACGGUCCAGACUCCUACGGGAGGCAGCAGCGGGGAAUAUUGGACAAUGGGCGCAAGCCUGAUCCAGCCAUACCGCGUGGGUGAAGAAGGCCUUCGGGUUGUAAAGCCCUUUUGUUGGGAAAGAAAAGCAGCAGGUUAAUACCCCGCUGUUCUGACGGUACCCAAAGAAUAAGCACCGGCUAACUUCGUG